AGCCUUCCGCGUGAGUGAAGAAGGCCUUCGGGUUGUAAAGCUCUUUCGGCAGGAACGAAACGGCGAGCUCUAACAUAGCUUGCUAAUGACGGUACCUGAAGAAGAAGCACCGGCUAACUACGUGCCAGCAGCCGCGGUAAUACGUAGGGUGCGAGCGUUAAUCGGAAUUACUGGGCGUAAAGCGUGCGCAGGCGGUUGUGUAAGACAGGUGUGAAAUCCCCGGGCUUAACCUGGGAACUGCGCUUGUGACUGCACGGCUAGAGUAUGGCAGAGGGGGGUGGAAUUCCACGUGUAGCAGUGAAAUGCGUAGAGAUGUGGAGGAACACCGAUGGCGAAGGCAGCCCCCUGGGCCAAUACUGACGCUCAUGCACGAAAGCGUGGGGAGCAAACAGGAUUAGAUACCCUGGUAGUCCACGCCCUAAACGAUGUCGACUAGGUGUUCGGUGAGGAGACUCAUUGAGUACCGCAGCUAACGCGUGAAGUCGACCGCCUGGGGAGUACGGUCGCAAGAUUAAAACUCAAAUGAAUUUGACGG
rnacentral:rRNA from 1 species